GUAGCUUGCUACUGGACCUAGCGGCGGACGGGUGAGUAAUGCUUAGGAAUCUGCCUAUUAGUGGGGGACAACAUCUCGAAAGGGAUGCUAAUACCGCAUACGUCCUACGGGAGAAAGCAGGGGAUCUUCGGACCUUGCGCUAAUAGAUGAGCCUAAGUCGGAUUAGCUAGUUGGUGGGGUAAAGGCCUACCAAGGCGACGAUCUGUAGCGGGUCUGAGAGGAUGAUCCGCCACACUGGGACUGAGACACGGCCCAGACUCCUACGGGAGGCAGCAGUGGGGAAUAUUGGACAAUGGGGGGAACCCUGAUCCAGCCAUGCCGCGUGUGUGAAGAAGGCCUUAUGGUUGUAAAGCACUUUAAGCGAGGAGGAGGCUACUUUAGUUAAUACCUAGAGAUAGUGGACGUUACUCGCAGAAUAAGCACCGGCUAACUCUGUGCCAGCAGCCGCGGUAAUACAGAGGGUGCGAGCGUUAAUCGGAUUUACUGGGCGUAAAGCGUGCGUAGGCGGCUUAUUAAGUCGGAUGUGAAAUCCCCGAGCUUAACUUGGGAAUUGCAUUCGAUACUGGUGAGCUAGAGUAUGGGAGAGGAUGGUAGAAUUCCAGGUGUAGCGGUGAAAUGCGUAGAGAUCUGGAGGAAUACCGAUGGCGAAAGCAGCCAUCUGGGCCUAAUACUGACGCUGAGGUACG
rnacentral:rRNA from 1 species